rnacentral:lncRNA from 1 species
GAAGUGCAAAAUUAGGGGAUUUGGAUGUAACUGAUAUCCCCCUCUCCAUUUCAGGCUCAAAUGUAUCCACACUAAUUCUGCAUGUGUUCUGUGACUUUGGUUAUCUCUGCUCUGAGCUGCAAAUUGCUGUUUUUCAGGAAAACUGCUGUUUCGGAUGCAGUCUUACUGAACCUUUGCCCAGUGCUGAAACCAAACUGAAUCUGAGCCUUUUCCAGGAAGACUGGGAGGAGAUGUGAAAACUGUUUAGAACUA